GAUGAACGCUGGCGGCGUGCCUAAUACAUGCAAGUCGAGCGAAAAGACGAGGAGCUUGCUCCUCUGACGUUAGCGGCGGACGGGUGAGUAACGCGUGGAUACCCUACCUAUAAGACUGGGAUAACUUCGGGAAACCGGCGCUAAUACCGGAUAAUAUCUUGAACCGCAUGGUUCAAUAGUGAAAGACGGUUUUGCUGUCACUUAUAGAUGGAUCCGCGCUGCAUUAGCUAGUUGGUAAGGUAACGGCUUACCAAGGCAACGAUGCGUAGCCGACCUCAGAGAGUGAUCGGCGGCACGGGAGGUGAGACACGCACAAUGGGCCUACGAGACGCAGCAGUAGGGAAUCGUCCGCAAUAGGGGAGAACCUGGCGGAGCAGCGCCACGUGUGAUGUAGCAAUCCUCGGUGCGGGAUACUCGGUUAUGAGGUGAGAACAGAUGUGUAAUGUACUGAGCACUGCGUGACGGUACCGGAUCAGAAAGCCACGGCUAACUACGUG
rnacentral:rRNA from 1 species